ACUCCCUGGAACAGGUAUCACCAAACUCUGAUAGGUACGAUUCCGAGUGAGACGCGACCAGUGGGAAAACACGCAGCAGUCAUGACCGAUUGACUUCUCCUGAGGCCUGCUGAUGUUGUUUGUGUGUGCAUGGUUGUUGCAAACAGACCAAGUGCACAGGCGGGAUAGCCUUUGGGCCAUUGCAUAACUCCAUACGGCAAGGAUGCCCUGAGGUUUGGUACAUUGGGGAAACCGAGC